ACCCAGAUGGGUAACUCUAACAGGAAUGGCAGUGCUUUAGGAUUUGAUGUUCACGAAGAAAGUGGAAUUCCUGAGCAAUGCAGAGGAAGGUAAUGGGGAUAAUAAGGCAAAGCAAGGAGAGCAGCUGGGGAAAGUGAGGGAAAGGCUGAAAGGAAAAGAACAGGCAGCAUGCAGGGCACCUUAUAGUGCAGUAAUGAGCUCUAGGAGCACUAUAUUGUGCCACUCUGUGUAGUGGAUAACCAUCUGUGUGUAUACGUUCCCUUUGCCUGUCUGGGCAACCAGCAGCCGCACAGCAAAGGCGGCUUCCGGGGCACUGCUGGAAAUGCCUCGGAGCGGUUCUCGCACCUCCCGACAGCGCUGCGGCUCUCUGCUGCCACCUGCUGGACGCCGGUCGGUACUGCAGGCACUGCCCCAGCAAGGGUCCCUGGUGUAUUCCAGGCACCGGAGACGUGCAGUGGUUUCUCCUGGGGCUCCUCAGUGUUCUCUAGGCUGCUCUAGAUGCUUCCCAGAGCGUCCUAGAGGCCUCUCAAGAGCCAACCUAUGUGCUCAGAGAAACGCUAGUGUGCUUCCAGAGCUCCUGUAUGUGUUCUCAGGAGGGUUCCAAGUGUGCCCUAGAUGCCUCCAAGAUGCCCCCAGCAUAAUCUGAGGAAUCCUGGAGUACUCCCAGAGCUCCUCAGUGUUCACUAGGAUGCUGUAGAAGUCUCACAUUGUGCCCUAGAGGCUUUCAAGGACACCCCAGUGGACCCCCUCAGCCCCGGCGCUGAGCCAAUCGGAUGCCGCGAUAGGCGCAGGGGUGGCUGAGAGCCAAACCGGUCCGUUCCCGGCACUGAGCGCUCCCCUGAUCUGAGUAGCGAGCGUAAAUCCAUGCAAGUACCACUUGCUUUGGUGCAUGCGCACUGCUGCCGGAGGACCAGUCACCAUAGAGCGGUGGUUUCUCUGUGCAGAGCAGCUAGAAGUUAGACGUCACUUCCGGCUUCCUGUGCACACGCGUCUUACUGCCUGGAGGCUCAAACACCAUAGAAGUUGGCGGACUCGAGGCGCAGAGCGGCUACAUGCAAAUUACCGAUGCGCUGAGCCAAUCGGCGGCCGCGCGGAGGCAGCGAUGAGUUAAAGCGGUCAGUUUCUGGGCUGGUUCGGGCACGCAGAGGGGUGCAGACGUGAGAGAGCGCGAGGAGUCAAUGGGGGACACGGGCUGGGAACUGUGGUGCGCUUAGGGGAUUCUCGCCGUGCCUGAACGAGGCUUGUGGUCAACGUCCGCGAUUGCUGGCGUUGUGAUGCGUUCGUGGGGAAGUGGAGUGUUCGUGGGGGUUGAGGUGGUGUUGUAGUAUUAGGAUACAGGGAGGGGGGCUCGACGUGGAGCUGGUUGUUUUCGGGCUUUGGUCGUGUGGGAGAGUGUGGAGCAAAAUGAAGUGGAGCGGCUGAGGGAAGCAGGCCGGGGGCUGUGCGCGGGAGGUUCCUCGCUCUGAGCAGUUAGAACACAACGAAGGCACUUUUACACGUUAGGGUGCGUGUGUGGUACGGUGAGGAGGACCAAAGACCAUAGAAACUGGCGGACUCGCAGCGCAGAGCGGUGGGAGCAAGGCGAUGGCUUUUCCGCGUUUCAGCGCGCAUGCGUGUCACUGCCUGGAGGACCAAACACCAUAGAAAUUGGCGGGCUUGCGGCGCAGAGCGUUCAGAACAGGGAGGUACUUUUCAUAGGAGGUGUGGAAGAAAUGUGAGAAAGAGGUGUCUUAGAUGAGAGGAGACGACUGGACUAUGUGGAUCAAGGGAGAAGAGUUGAGUUGUGUGUUCUAGAAUACAAAAGUGACUUUGUUGUACAGUUUCAUCGGCCUGAUGAUUCUCUGCUGGAAAUCAGUGGAUGACUCAAAGCAAAGACAAAAGGCAGCCAAGUGUCAGACAGCAAAAGACAACACCGUUUUUCUUUCUUCAUGACAGCUGGGAUGAACAUUUGCAAGAUACGGAUCCAAAUGUUUCUUUUAAGGAUUGUGGCCUGAGGCCACCGCCGUGUCAGUCACCCACAUGUUAACUCUGGCAACAAACCAAGUAUUGAAUUCUUGCAGAAACGCCGAAAAGAUCGUUAGAAAAAAAGAAAAGCUUAUGUGUACAUACAUACUAUGAAGAGCAUUUGAGUGAGCAAACCCAGAAGGUGGGUUUGAGGACGGACCGGGCUGCAAGCUUCCAACCUGCGUAGUACAGAAGGACUCUCAGCAACUGGCCCAAGAGGAAACUGAAGAUGACUUGGUCCUGUGCUGUAGUAACAACACUUCACUGCUUUGGAAAAACAAUAAAAAGAAGAAAGAAAAAAGAAAGCAUUGAGAGUUCCAACACCAUAAAAAGAUAAGAAACAGAAUGUAUUUUGAGUGAAAGUGGAAAAGUCUUGUGUUACGCAACACAGUCAUGCAGAAAUCUCCAAAACAGGUGUGUUCAUAACAGCAUGGCACUGAGCAUGGAUUAAUUCAUUACAGCUGAGAUACUCCUAGGUUCUGAUUGGAAUAGUUUGUGGGUACAUCUUCUCACAGAUGUUCCAGCUCAGAUAUGUUACUGCCUCAGGCCUGCACUUGUACCAUUGGUUCUUGUGGUUUGGCUGAACUGGAGCAAGAGGAACAGAAAGACACAAGGGCUGUUUGCAAAGAAAAACAUAUAGAGGGGGAAAGUAGAAGCAGUUAAACAAAUAAAGAGGUAUUGAAGAGAAGGAAAAUCAAUGAGUCAUAAGUGAACAUGGACGAACUUUCAGAGGAAGUGAUGCAUGCAUGUAGAUGGAUAUUGGAUAUUACAUAGAGGGUAUUUCAAUGCUGGCAUUUGAUUUGAAAGAACAACCAGGCAGGUCCACUUUCUCUCCCUACUAAUUUACAUGAAAUUACUAACUCUCCUCUAAUUUGUAUUAGGACAUUUCAAAGCUCUGCGUGAUUUCCAAAGGCAAUUUGUGCCAAUGGGAAGGUAUACACACAGCAUAUGAAUGAGUACAAGGGAACUUGAUCAAAAUUCCAGUCUCAUGUAUUUUUUCUGAACACUUGCUGCACUCCUUUCAGAUCUGGAAAAUUGCAGGCUGACAUAUCUCUGGAUUUUUUAUGUUGUGCUUCUUUUCUCCUAAGAUCUACGCCCUACUGGUUCUGGGAAACUUGUGACCUCUGCAUUUUUAAUUAGAACUUGUAACAUUUUCCAUAGCAACAUAUUUUGAUGUCGCAAAUACAGAACCUGUCAAAUCAAACAAUUUCAAAGUGCAAAGCUACGGCCUUCUGGUCAAUUGAAGUCCAAGUACAUGAAAACACUGAGAUGCAAGGAAGACUGAAAAUUAUUUGUUGGUUAACUCAUAGCUUUGAUCUUCAUAAUUAAUAAAUCAGUACAGAUAUAAAAGAAUUACAUUGCAUGCUGGAGUGGUUUAGAUGAACUCAGUACUAAUUUCAUCGCACGUGAGAGCAGAUAGAAUCCAUCUGUCUGACUGGUGUGCCAGUACUAACAUGGUACAAAGGAGAGGAUCUAUUUCUAGGAAAUAGUCGAGAUGUGGAACAAACUUCACUCACAUGAUGAGCUGUGUGAGCAGGAAGUGAAGAAAACAGAAAUCCUCUGAAACGAGGCCUGAGCUCAGAUUUCAACAGACCCACAAUAUGAGCAGGAAUAAUAAUAAUGGGUUAAGAAAAGCAGUGUAACUUAGCACUUAAAUAUGUAUAUUAAAAAUAAGUCAUUUAUUUAUGAUACAUGCCCUGCAAGUGCCAAAUAAUACUUCUGUCAAGUCUGAAGAACAUAAACUGAGAAUUUUUGUCAUUCAGAUAUACUUAUCUUUCCUUUUCCUGCUUUAAGCUAAGACUAAUGGCCAAGGAAGUCAUAUUUUCCUGCCAUUACUAAGACUGCACAAGGUAAUUUGCCCCUCUGCAAGGACAUCCACGUGUAACUGUUAGUAACACCAGCAGCCACGAGAUAUGGAUAUGAUCAUCAAGUCUUACUAAAACAAAUGCUGAAUACCAUGAACCUUUCAGGAGGAAAAGGCAAGUGUCAAUGUGGAAUGCGGUAAGAACUUUCUUGUUUCUGGUAGCAUUGGGUAUGUGACUGCUAUCCCUCUUCUUAUUCCAUCUAUUUCCACUUUUUACAAAAAAAAAAAAAAAAAAAAAAAAAAAAAAACACUGGAAUAUUAAGUUAAUAUUAAGUUAAACGUGGUAUGUUUCAACCUUGCAUUGCAGAUAAGGAAUUCCUGGAGUUCCUGAAUCCUGCGUGAUUGCAGGCAGCUCAGCUGAGUGUGCAUAAGGGAAAGGGGAACAAAAAUAUAAGAUUUUUCUGUUUCCUACCAAUUAUCUGAUAUUUCCCCUCUACUGUCUUUGGUGUAAAAGAAAACCAAAGUUCAGCCUUCUAGGAAAUGUAUUCUGGUAACCUGAAAGACUUUAUAAAUAGAGUGCACAAAUAGAUGACAGUACUUCCAUGACAUAGAUUUUCUGCUUUAGAAUGAAAUGCUUCAUUUGAAAAAGCUCCUAAAAUUGUUAGAACAGUAAUUUAAAAAAAAAAAAAAAAGUUUAAACUCCACAAUUGAAUACAAAAAACGUUGCUGUGAAGGUUUUGAUUUCCAAGAAAUCCAUUUUAAACGUAUUUACAAAGUUUACAUAGAAGAAUAGAUCUGCUGCUAUCUAUAACAUUCACUUCUGUAGUAGAACAGCUAAUUUGCGACUAUUGGAUGAGAGAUACAGAAAGAGUCACUUUAGUGAAAGAAAAAAAAAACAUAUUAUUUUAAGGACAAAUAGUAAAAAAUGAUUGUUUUGGAGUUUAGAGACACAGAGUUUGAAGGAUUUUGCCCUCCGAUGCAGACUGCUCAUGCUUAUGCUGUAGCAAAGGAGGAGCAUCUUGACUACAAGAGUCUUAGUGGAAGAAAACUGGCAAUGCCUUUAUAAAAAUGUAUUUAAUUUCUGUGUUUGCAGUUUUCCCAGCUUCAUCCCUAGGUCCUGGCCUCAAGGGCCCUAGAGAUGUCACAGUUUUAAACAGUCUUAUAAAUCUAGGAGGGGAAAUGAGCUGUCUCUCAUCUUAAACAGAGAGCCUUGGAGAAUGUCUAUGGGGCUUUACCAAUGGAGCUGCCGAAAACAAAGCUAUGAUUCAGGGGUCUCUGACCUUUCCCAGCCCUCCUCCACCAGUGUCAGCCUGCAGCCUGCUCUUUAAAAGUUUCUGCUCACCCAGGGAGCAAAAUUAGAAAUCUUCUCCAGGGACAAUUUUUCUUCCAUCAAGCCACUCAUCAGCCCACUGAGGCAUGGAAACCAAAAAGGAAAAAGUGAGUUAAAAGAAUGUAUGUCUCUUGGUAAGGAUUUCCCACAGCAGAGUGUAAGUGUCCAGACUACCUCAUCAGCAGAGUCCCAGCCUUUACUAUAGGUCUUGGUAUUCAGUCUGUACUGUAGUGGUAUAGAAAAGUGCCAAGCACUGUGCAGGUGAUGCAUGCAUCAAUACAGCAGAUGUGGAGGUGUGUUUGAACUGCUUAACAUCAGCACUUACCAAAUGUUGAAGACACUCUAGCCCCUACGACAAAUAAAAGCAUUCAUUCAGAUGUGCAUGGCAUUUCAGGAAUGGAAUCAUUAUUAUCUUCUCCGAAAAUGUUUUGUCUUAUGUUUAAUAUAAUAUAAUAUAUAUUGCUUAUUGGAAACAAAUCCUUGUUAGUCUCGUUGUUUGUUUGUUUCCUAAUUGUGGAUCACCACAGAACAGGGUACAGUUCAUAAAUACCUCAAAUAUCUGAAAGGUGAUUGCAGCAGAGCAGGGCUGGUCUCUUCUCACUGGUGGCAGGAUGAGGAGAAAUGGCCUCAGGCUGCACCAGGGGAGGUUUAGGUCGGAUAUCAGGAAGAAUUUCUUUACAGAAAGGGUUGUUAAGCUCUGGAAUGGGCUCCCCAGGGAGGUGUUGAGUCACCAUCCCUGGAUGUGUUUAAAAUCCAUCUGGAUGUGGUGCUCAGGGACAUGAUUUAGUGGAGGGUUGUUAGAGUUUGGGUAGUAUGGUUGGGUCUUGAUUGGACUCAAUGAUCUUUAAGGUCUUUUCCAAGCAAAUUCUAUGAUUUCCGGAGCAAUUCUAUGAUUCUGUCAUUUAAUAUGGAGAAAAUUCAAGUAAACUAAAAAUCAGAUUUAAAAGAUAACCUGGUGCAAUGUACUUUUAUUUAUUAAUUUGUUUAUUUUUAUUCCCCAGGCCUUUUUAAAGUUAACCCUAGAAAACACCCCAUGUUGGCGACUCCUUGUAAUUCAUGUCAAUGUUCUUUCAGCAGCACAGUUGCUGCUUCCACGCCGUGAGCAUCUCCUGUAUUUGCUUUAGAACUGCUUCCUGCUGAUGCGUUAAGCACAGGAAGUGAAAGGGUCUGUUGUCGAUUCCAUAACUACCUCCCCCCAUUCAGCUGAAGGAAGGGAAAUAAGAAAAUUGAAAGGUCAGACUUCUGAAGUCAUCUUCGCCACGUGCUUAACAUUUACAUCAUCAAAUUAAUGGAAUGACUGCAACCACAAGCACAAAAGAUAAAGGACAGAAGCUCUUUUUCCUUCGCAGUACAAAUCCUUCUCACAGAACCUCACACUGAAUCUUUUCCCAGCUGUACAGGAUUUACUUCCCAUUCUCUUCCAAGAUGCCAGAAACUCAGCCUCUAGCUAAAGCCUGCUAAGACAACUCUUUUUUGUUUCUCUUGGUGAAGCAGACGCACCGCAUUCUGAACGCUUGCACUUUCCACCAUGAGAAGUGUUCUGGGAGAGAAAGCCCCAAAAGAUCAAAUGUUAUCAUUUCUCAUUAAGUCAGUUUACACCACUGUUGUCAGUCAGUGUAAGGAACAUUAAUAAGUACAAGCUGUGGUAAAUUCCUGGAGGUCGCCUUGCAGUGAUAAGGAAGCCUUGCAGUGAUCUGGAAGCCUACCUGCCUGCCAUGGAGCCCAAAGGCAGUCAUGCCAUCCCAUCCAUCUCCCUGAAGUCAAACUGGGCCCUGAAGUCUGAAGACUGCAAUAUUUCGUGUAGUUCUGCCUACAUACCAAACAUCCUCAGCAUCAAAAAUCCACUUGGCAGGUCUUUGGGCAGGCACUGAGUUUUCAUAUGUAUCAACCCGUCCAUGUAGAAUGAGAGCCUUUUCACCUGCGUGUAACUUGUUAAUGUGAGCAAAUAAAGCAUCUGGGAAGGGCAGGGAAAGGAAGGGGGAAAAGAAUAAGGUCAGAUCUGUAAAGUAAGUCGAUCUCUAAGGAUUAAGCAGUGCUUCUUUGUAGAGAUCCUCCACCAAAAAAAAAAAAAAACCCAGACAAGAUUCAGUGCUCUCAACAUAAACCACUAUGGAGACCAGCUGAACUCUUGGCAGAUAUCACAGGGUACCCCAAAAAGACAUAAAACAUAUGAUAAGGUGCUAAAUGCAACAUUAUCCAUGUAGCAUCUUUUAUUCAGCAUCUACAGUCAUCUGGGGUAGGCAAACUCAGGCCAGGGCAGCAGUAGUUGAGGUUUAUGUCCAAGGAUCAAGAUUAAAUUUAAAUAAGACACACAUUGCUUGCUUUUUUGUUAGCUGAGGCAAAGAGGACAUCACUCAUUCAGUCUGCAAACACUCCCACUGUGACACACUCAGUGCUAAACUGAGAAACGUUCUUAGGAAUGUCAUAGGUGAGGAAAUGAGCAGCAGCAAAUGGUACCUCCGCUUUGAUACCUGGGUUCAUGGAAACUUAUUUGAAGUGAUGUAAUAGGGCACAACCAUUUACCAGGUGUUGCCUAUUGAGAGGGAAAACUAUACAAAGCCACAUCUGACUUUAAACAGGUUCCUGUAAUGCUAAUUUACUUAGAGAUGGCACCUGGACAGGACAUUGUCUUCAGGAAGCUGUAGUGCACAGCCCAAGAAAUACACACAAACAGCUGUAAUUACUAAUAAGAACACACGUUUACAUUUGUAAGUGUUGGAAAGCCUUCAAUUUAGCAUCUCUAUAAAUGCUGGAAAGCUCUUAGAAUAAAUGACCAGAAUCCCUCCUUCCUUGGGAAGCCAGCAAGGGCCCCACCUGACGGCUCUCCCAACGAAGAGUGUUGGAAGCCAUUUUUUGCAGCUGGGGAAGGAAAAUACAAGCUUAGGGGAAGAAUCUAUCACAACUUCCAGCAUGAGAAGGAAAGCAAGAGACAACUUGUCUGAGUCUGCCUUCUUGCAGCAGGAGGGCUACGAAAGUGUUUUUAAUGUCAGUCAAAACCAUUCUCCACGAUGGAUAAAACACAACAGAAGUGGACCAGGUCCAGUUUUGGGGAGUGAUGCUUUCUGACUGUGAUGGUGCUGUGGUGAAUAUUUCACAUCAGUGUCCGCUUUGUAAAAUUCAAGAUCUGAGUAUCUCUCUAUGCUGUUCGCCUUCUAUAGUGGUUUCCAGCGUAGCUUGCUUUCUUCAACAAUCAACAUCACCUACUAUCUGCAGGCACAAAUUAUCUAUUAUUAUUAUUUCUGCAGUUUAACAACACAAAGCAAAAGCAGAAAUAAAAGGAGAGAACAAAAGCAGCUCGUGAAGUCCACAACAUGCAUAAGAUUUGAUAUACAAUGCAUUAACUUCUCCCCAUUCGGUCCCCACGAGGACAGCGGCUCCAGGGCUGUGUGGUCCUAAAGCUUUAAAGUCAUUGAAAUUCUAAUCUUUAAAAAACACUGAAAGAUGAACUUUGACUGUACAAACCUUCAAAUAAAAAUAGCAUUUUUACUAAUGUGCUCUUCCCAAGUGCCUGCUUCUUCCUAGUAGGUUUCCCAUCCUAAUACUGUAUGUUUUUGCAGCUGGCAAUUGACACUGCCAAUGAGCCUUUAUGUUCAAUGUUAUUUAAUAGAUUCC
rnacentral:lncRNA from 1 species